UCAGUUUGAUGUAACCCCAGUGGAAGA
rnacentral:sRNA from 1 species